rnacentral:lncRNA from 1 species
GACUCCCCUUGAUCCCGCCGCCUGACUCCUCGGCGUACGUUCUCUCUCCGGUCUCCCCCUCCAUGUCCCCUCCUCCCCUUUUCUUCCACAUCACCGAUCCUUUCUGGACUCUCUCCCUUCCUCCUUUCCAGCUGGGAGACAGGAAAAGCGGUCCUGUUUGGGAACAGUAAAAGCAGGGCAAGGAAAGGAAGGAGCGGCAGAAAGGAGGGCGAGGCAGCCGAGCUGCAGACACAGAGAUGCAGAUCUUUGUGAAGACCCUCACGGGCAAGACCAUCACCCUUGAGGUCGAGCCCAGUGACACCAUUGAGAAUGUCAGUGCGAAAAUUCAAGACAAGGAGGGUAUCCCCCCUGACAAGCAGCGUCUGAUAUUUGCCAGCAAACAGCUGGAGGAUGGCCGCACUCUCUCAGACUACAACGUCCAGAAACAGCCCACCCCGCACCUGGUGCUGCACCUGCGAGGUGGCAUUAUUGAGCCUUCACUCUUCCAGCUCACCUAGAAAUACAGCUGAAACAAGAUGAUCUGCCAUAAGCGCUAUGCUCUCCUGCACCCCUAUGCUGUCAAUUGCCGCAAGAAGAAGUGUGGCCACACCAACAACCUGCACCCCAAGAAGGUCAAAUAAGGCUCUUCCUUCCUCGGAGGGCAGCCUCCUGCCCAGGCCCCAUGGCCCUGGAGCCUCAAUAAAGUGUCCCUUUCAUUGACUGGAAAAAAAAAAAGUAUGAAUAGAACUGGUUGACUGGCCAAGAGAAACAGCGACCUAACCUUGCCCUCAUUUAUGCACACUUUUGCAUAUGAUUAGGACUAAGAUAGUGUUUAUAAGUGAGAAGAGAAGGAAAUUCAUAAUCAC